CCGUGGCCUGGUUAGUGGUUACCACGAUGAGGUUCCAAUAGUCCACGGUAAGAUUUCGAAAAUCGCUUAUGUACCACGAAAUAUUCAUGGAUUCAGUUUUGAGAUUGGAUCCAAAUUUCGCUCAAGGGGAUCCACUGACACACGCGCAGAGGAGCGGCCGGUCUGCGUCCAUCCAGCCAUAAUGCGAGGCGGGGUCCGGCCAAGACGAGGCUCGCGCUGUGAUCGACCAGAGGCGCGGGUCCGGCUUCAGUCGAUGCGCUCGAGGUGUCGUGGUGAAACGACUCCGUCUACUCUUCGCCCAGUCGCCUCCCUUCUCCAACCUCCCCAGCUCGUUCUCAUGUCUUUCUUCAGGCAGGUGAGAUCCGGGUUCCCCUUCUUGUCUCUUAGAUUUUUUUAUGUUGCCGUGAUACGUUGGCUAGGUGUACAGGUUGCUCACCUGGUCUUCCCUUGAUUUCUUCAGCCAAGUGAGCUCUUGUUGUACCUGCCGCACAGUGUUCGUACAAAACAAGCGGCACAUUUAAGCGAGCUAGGGGCGAGUCAGUGUCAAAACGUGUCAAUCAAGGCCUAGCAGUUUUUCUGAACUUUGCCACUUCAUAACGUGCUGAACCCUUCUCCUUGUGUUCAGAGUACUGACAAAACUCCUACUGGAAACAUGACGAUGGCGAACCCCGAUUUCAGAAGAACUAUAGAAAGAAAGUGUUGAGCAUAAAAAUGUGAUCUACUAUAGUGGUGAUGUUUCUUUUCUUAUAGUGUGGGCAAUAUUCUUUUUAUUCCUUAUGAACAUAAUGUAGUGCUAAUGUCAGGAGCAUGCAUGUACAAAUUAUAUCAUAAUAUACUCUUUAUAUUGCAUUUUCAGUUUAGUUCUUACCUGUGUGUUUUUCACAGUUUCAGUGAAAGCUUGAUGAUGUUGCGCCCUCGAGUGCUGGUGAUUGCCAUGCAUCCUCUAAAUCAACUAAAAUUUCUAUUGAUUUUGUAGCUAAUGUAGUGGUAACUCUUCUGAUCGCUUUCAUAUAAUUAAAUUUGCAAUGUACGACCAAGUGCUCCUUCAUUUGCCUUCUAUAAUCAUUAUUAUGUUUUAGAAUCAUGCUCCAGUUUAUAAGAUGUUAGAAAAAUCUUGAUAGGUGCUUGGCUCAGAGGCCUUCGUACAGGUGCCAUCUGCACAUGCUUCGCUUGAUUGCAGCGGUUGGAACUCUGAGAUAACCCAACAAAUAAUCAAAUUUGAGUAUGUGAAAUGAAGCAGAAAUUAAGUGUACCACUGAUAAUAUAAAUGUCCAUUUAUGCUUAUGUAAAGAUAUUCUUAUUAUUCUACCGCAUUCCACUCUACGUAGGAAAUCCCAUUUAUGGUAUUAGUAUAUCAGUUACUACUUGAUUUCCUAACUAAGUGAAAUCCUUGUUAGCAUUCUUCUCCUUGAGUGUGGCACACUCCACACAUGAAAUGUCUAGGCACCGGGCCCGCCUAAUUCUUCUUUGUUGCGGAACAUGGAGCCCCUUUCGGUAGAGAGGCACAUGAACAUUUCAUUAAUGCACCAUGUAUACAAUCUGUAAUGACAAUUUAUGUCUCCUCUUGCAUGUUUAUUUUUGCUGUGGCUUAUUAUCUGUCUUGGCACUAUGGAUUGGUUUUAUUUACUGAAUACAUGGAUGUAUAUGUUGUCAUAUCAAGCCAAUUUGUGUAGGUAAACCUUACUUUUUAUCUUAGUAUAUAUGAGAUCUUCAUUAAUUAUUGACUAAUAUAAGGUUAUGUUUUAG
rnacentral:lncRNA from 1 species